UACGAAGGGUGCAAACGUUGCUCGGAAUUAUUGGGCGUAAAGCGCACGUAGGCGGCUUAGCAAGUCGGAAGUGAAAGCCCUCGGCUCAACCAAGGAAGUGCUUUCGAAACUGCUGAGCUUGAGUACUUAAGAGGAUCGCGGAAUUCCCGGUGUAGAGGUGAAAAUUCGUAGAUAUCGGGAGGAACACCAGUGGCGAAGGCGGCGAUCUGGGAAGAUACUGACGCUGAGGUGCGAAAGCGUGGGGAGCAAACAGG
rnacentral:rRNA from 1 species